UUAAAGGUGUCACCAAAGGCGAGGUAAUUUGAAACGACGUCGUUUCAUAGACAAAUGUUUUGUCAUGAAAAAUGCCCUGCCCUAUUUUUCUAAAAUCAGAUCGAAAUUCACGAUCUAUUCUCUCUGCCGCCUCUCUCUCCCUCUCCCUUCCUCCUCUCUCCACGUUCUGCCCCUCCAACUUCAACCAAUAGCACCUGUGUGACCAUGGAGAAUCCAUCUCCAGCCACCGCCGUCACCACGGACUACCAUCAGUUGCCUCCGGUGAUAAGGGUGACAACCACCAUAACGACUACUUCGAAGUCCGCACGAAAAAAUUUCAUGGUAUCGUCGCGUCACAACAUUCAGGAUUGAUUCUCUGUUGUAGUAAGGUCUAAUUUCUUAACCCUUGCUCGAUUUAUUUCUCUUUCCUCUGUGUGUGUGUGUGUGUGUUCCAACGAUUGGAAUUUGGGGCGGACAACUCUGCCUCUCUCCACCAGGUUUGUUCCCCUCCCUCCCUCUCUCUUAAUCUCAUCUCUACACAUGCGUGCGUGUAUGCGUACAUACAUGUCCUCUGUAAACAGUAUUGUUUAAUCUCAAUCCCCCUUUUCUAAGCCCUAAAUCGCUUAAUCUCAGAAAAAAUGAGCAGUGGCACUAGAGUUUCAAUGUAACCAAUUUUGGACAUCAAGGAGAUCAAAGGCAAUCUUCUCAUGCUAAGAACUACGAUGGGAACAAGGAUAUGCUUGGAAAGUGUGAGCAGUUUUUCCUGGAGCUGAUGAAGGUCCCACGAGUAGAAUCAAAAUUGUGAAUGAAAAUUAUGUAACCUGGACACAAUAAACGGUGCUGCGAGAGAGGUUAAAGAAUCAGCGAAAUUGCGUCAAGUAAUGCAGACGAUUCUCACUUUGGGAAAUGCAUUGAACCAAGGCACUGCUCGAGGAUCUGCUGUAGGAUUCAAAUUGGACAGCCUACUCAAGCUAUCUGAUACCCGGGCAAGGAACAAUAAAAUGACAUUGAUGCAUUAUUUAUGCAAGGCAGACCAGUUUAGAGUCUCACUUGGAAGGCUUUGUUGAGUAGUGAUCUGAUACAUGUGUGGUUUACUCUUGGGUGGUUUCGGUUGAUGAGAACUUGUCUUGCUAAGCUCACCUUCGUUUAUUUCAUUAAUCUGUUGUUCAUAAGGACCUUGAGAGUUUUAAGUAAUACCCUGGAGAAGUCUGCAUAUGCCUGAAAGGAUGCAUGUGCACCUGUCUUCUUUUGUAAAGGAUCUUACUAGAAUUUUUUGGUUACUAGAUAUUUUAUAAAGCGUAACAUUUGAGUCCUCUUUGCCAGUCCAAAUUUGUUUAUCUGGAAAUCAUUAAUUUCAAUUGAGCAGAUUGUAUGACCCAAUUUAUUUCAUGUGAGGAAAUUUUGUGAUCGUAUUUAUAAAUUUUGUGAUCGUAUUUAUAUAGAUUCUUCAAUUUGCUUUCCAUCAUUCCAUGCUUGUUACUCCUUUGACUCUUGCUUCUUCCUUGCUAGUUCACAAUAUAUGGUUUAACAAUAUUUCCAUUUAAUUGUGAGUAUGUUGUUCUUUUGCUUCUUUUAAAGUUUUUUUUGGGUACUUCAUGCUUGUGUGAUGCUAUAGUCGAUUUUCUUUCUUUUCUUUAUUAGAUCCUUGCCGAGAAGUUACCGGAGUUGCUGGAUUUUGAUAAGGAUCUCAGUCAUUUAGAAGUGGCCUCCAAGUUAUGUUCAACAUGGUAUAAGUGCAAGAUUUUUACUAAGAUUUACUAUUGCAUAAUUAGGGUGUCUAUAGUAAUAUGGACAAUAUAUUGGUUCUUCCAUCUACAAAUGGCCAGAUUCAAUUGAAAUCUUUAGCUGAAGAAAUGCAAGCUGUGAGUAAAGGUCUGGAAAAGGUUGAGCAGGAACUCACUGCUUCAGAGAAUGAUGGUGCCAUCUCUGCAGGCUUCCAAUAGGUAAAGAGAUGGAGUUGCUUUUUGGAAGUUUACCAAGAUGGAGUUGAAGACUUUUUGGUAGUUAAAUAGAACACUUGUUUUGAGUUCUUUUUGUCAUUGGACACAUCAUGGAUAUGGAUGUUUUGUAGUUUCGGUAAUACUGUUAAGCUUGAAGUGGUUAUUGUUGUAGGAUGAAUGUUUUGAAGGGUUGUAAAGUUGGAUAAUGAAUGUUGAUUUAUUGGAUAUUUGAUUUGAAUAAUAUUUUGCUUCUUCGCAA